CCCACACGUCAGAAAGAGCUGAGCGCCUGAUCAUUUCCUCUCCUUACUCUCUCUCUCUCUCUCCUCUAGCAUCCGCCAACGACUUCUCGCACCCACCGCACUCAUUUCUGUAUAUCGGCGGAGGAAGAUCAGCGAGAGUGAACGCAAGUGCAUAUUAGCACCAGGCUAUCGGCAUGCGCUUCUAGAAUCCGGCGAGGCAUCCGGGGGUCGAGGCAGGGGGGAUGGUAAGCUUCGAAACCAGAUCAGGUGAGUUCAUGCUCCAUGCACCCUGAAUCUCUCCAAACCUCUGAUUUGGGCGCUUUUUUUGUGCGGGACAACAACUUCUCAUGGGGCUUGGAAUCCAGUGGCGGAGGUUCAGAACCAGACAUCAACAACUUGUGUAACUUUUUCUGUGCUCUCUGGAAUCCAGUGGGGGAAAGUGCAGGUUUGUUCACAGUGGAAGGAUCCCUGCUAGAGGUAAAAACGCACAUAUGUAAGUCAAAUUGAUCCUCUCCCUCCUUCCCCAAUCUAGUAUGGGCUCUGUGUUUUUUUAGUUAGAUCUGUGUUUUGUCUACAUUCUGGUAGUGGUUUGUUAGGACGCGGAGGGAGGUAGGGGAUAUUGCACUGAUGAAUAGUUGUUGCUAUUUGAGUAAAUUAUAGAUUGCACUGAUGACAUAUUUGCUGUCUGAAUUUGUUUGCACUCAGAAACUGUGUUUUUUUUGUUGUCUGUACAUUUUAGUAUAUGACAUUUUUACUUCAUUAGUCUGAAUGGAGACUUUAGGAAAACACAUAUGGUUCUAUAUUAUCAAAAAAAUACUUCAUUAGGCAUUAAUAUGGUUCUGAUUAGGCAAUAAUAUGGAAAACUGAACUAAUUUUCUCCUAAACAGUAGCCAGCGAUUUGCACCUGCAGUUGUUCUGUAUUUUCUCUCUGAAUUUCAGGGGCAAGUUCAGCCUAUAGGUGCAGCUCAGUCUCUGUCUACCUGUCUUCUCCUAUUGCGGUAGCUUUUGGUUGAUUAGCAGCUCACGCAGGUAAUCUGCAAGAACAAAUGCAGGUAUUGCUUAACUUGUGUUUCGCAGCUCAUCCAGCAAUAGUAAUUUUUGAAUUAAUUCAGCUUGUCAGGUUUGUUCAGAGACACAUUGAGGUACAUAAUUGCACGAGCUAUUAUUUAAUCCUUUUGACAUAGAAGUUGUCUGAUUUGUUUAACCUCAUUUGUGGCCUGUAGCUUUUUUUCUUGCACUGCUAAAUUUAAUCAUCUAUUGCUGGGGGGGAUCAUGCUGCAGUUGCAUUGUUCUAGUAGCUAGCAGCUCUUUAUUUUUGUCUCAGCUAACAACUCAAGCUACUGAAACAUCACUUAUGUGCUUCAGAGCUUGCCUCUUGUGAAUUGGCUAAUUAGUAAGUUGGUUAAACAAUGCAUUAUAAGCAGCUUGGUUUGCUCGCUUGGAUCAGUUUUAUUGUGCAGGCAGGUCAAUUCAGUAGCUGCAGCUACAGCUCGUUCAACAGCUGCAAGUGGACAUAAAUAUCUCUUUCAUACUACAACUCCAGCGAUUAGGCAAUCAUUGCUUUCUUGGUCCAUGUUUUUAGUAAUCCUUUAAACUGCUCGUAAGCUCUAGUAAGUUUUUCAGUCUUAUAUGCAUACCUCUUAGUUAGCACUUGGAUUAAUCAUUUUGAAAAUUAGUCAGUGCUAAUUUUUGGCCAGCUCAUUGCCACGAUACUUUGAGAAAUUCCUAACCAUUCCUUGGAUGAGCCUGUCACUAGUUGGCUUGACAGUUACAAAAAAGGCGUGUUGGGUUGUAUCCGGAACAUGGGCCAUGUUUUUGGUGAAAAUUUUUAAAAGGCUCCCAUUCACCCCUUCCCACCCUCUAGUCACCUUAUCGGUCAUUCAAUUAUAGUUGAGAUACUACCAGUAUGACAUGCUUGCAGGUUACAGGUGCAUCUGAUUAGUUAUUGAACUUCUUUAGGCAAUUAGAAAGUAAGAAUAGGCAACUAAGUGUACUAUAAUCAAGCAGUAUUAGCGUAUGGUCAAAGUAAAACAGUGCAAAUCAUUGGGUAAUUUUUGUAGCGUUCUUUCUUCUCUAAUUUCUCUUUAUUUCUUCUGUUCUUACAUUCCAGGCACCCAAGUUAUCCAGGGGAAACCAAGUACAAUGCAUGUAGAAGAUAUGAUCUGCAUAUGAACUAGCUCAAGUAAAUACAUACAUAUGUAGUGAGAGCAAGUAAAUUUCUUGCAAUUUUUUAUCUAAAUAUGUACUUCAUUUGGCAAUAAUGUUGUUUAGAUUAGGCAAAUUAUGCAAUUGUUUUAGGCAAUAAUAUUUUUCUAAAUUAGGUGAUAUUAUGGACAGAAAUUUAGGAAAUAAUAUCUCUGUAUUAGCAAAAAUAUGAUCAUGGAUUAGGUUAUAUAGAACUAGCAAUGUUUGUAACCAGAGGUAUUCAGCCUUGCAGAUAUUUUAGUUCUCAAAUUAACUGCACUUGCUUUUCUUAUCGGUCAUACAGAAUAGUGUUUAGGACCUAAAAUCUGAUGUGCUUUUUUUCUGCUUGCAAGUUUCCUCAUCGAAUUGGCACUAUAACACUGUUUAGCUUGGUGUUUGGUGGUCUGAAUGGUCAUCAGAUUGUCAUCGGAAGCAGUUUAGUUGCGGCUCAAUCUCAAUUUUUAUUCAUGAGCAGCUUGGUAGUAGUUGUAGCUCUAAUCUUUUUGUUUGGUCAUUAAACAGUGGAGGCAAUCAGUUAAUCAUAUGUAUGCUGGUAGUUCGAAAUUUUGUUAAUCCUUAUAAUUUAGAUGGGGUGUUUUAUUGUUUGUGCGCGUCCUGUAGAGUUCCAUCAAAAAGUGCAUAAUUUUGUCAAAAAAAGAAAUCUAAGCCUGCCGUGAUUGUCUCCUUUUUCAAAAAUGGAGCGGCCGUACGGUGGGCCUAAAGAUUUGGGUUUUUUUGUCUUUUUUUUCAUCAGUGUGGUAAUCAGUGGGUGGCGGGGGAUAUCCCCUGCGCGUGGUGCGUUGAAGCACACAAACAGGUCAAGGUGAGCUUUCUCUCCCUCCUGUCUGCCCACGACGUACCCAAAACCACUCUCACCUGUGUGUCCAAUUGAGGUUUUGAUUUUUGGGGGGUUUUGCUUGGUGUUUGUUUUUUGGAGAUGGUCAUGAUCUCAUGGAGUAGGAUACUCGUGUGCCAUCCCCCGUUUGAUUUUCGCAGUCAUUAGCAGAGCACGUGCUUGGAUUAUUCUGGUUAAACAUCACGACUGUGAAUCGCAGGUGAGCUACCCUCAUUUCUGGGAUCAUUUUUCGAAAUAUGUUCCACAUUGUAUACUAAGCAUCUUUUCUAAUUAACACAGGCAUUAACCUAAUCAUAGACAGGCAACAAUGUUCUAUUAAAUAGGCGAAGUAUCAUUUAUGUGUUGGCUAGUUUAUGGGUAUUUCUAAUGUGUUUUUUUGCCCCUAUUUGAUAUGAUUUGCAUAACAAUUUGUGUAGAUUAUGCAAUAUGCUACUUGGUAUACUAGAUCAAUGUUCUUAAGGCGUUGAGGCGAGGUGUGGCGCCCUACCUCCUCUGGACGCCUAGGCGACGCCUAGGCGAGGCGAGGCGACGCCAUACACUAACGUAAAAGCAGCAUAUUAGCAGUAUAAUUAGCAGUAUAAAGGGGAAAAGAAAUGAGAAAAGAAGAAAGAAAAGAGAAAAGGCCCGAGAAGAAUGUAAGGCCCAGCCCACCAAGUCACUGCCAGCCCAUAAACUACUCAUCACUUCACCAGUCCUCCCGUGCCCUCCUCCCCGAGCGCCUCCCUCCGCGAGACACCUCCCCGCUGCCCGUCUCUCCCCGUGCUGGCGUGCCUCCUCCCUGGCCGUGCAGGGCUCAGGCGCCUCGGAAUCGGGCCAUCGUCCCUCCUUGAUUCCAGAUCUGCGAUGAGCGCCGCCCUACGGUCACGGAGCAUGCCUGCGCCGGCCAUCUUCCCCCAAGGUUAGCAGCACCGCCGGCCUCUGCUUUGACUCCGCACCGCCAGAAGGUCUCCCUGUGCCGGCGCGCCUCCUUCCCCGAGACCCCUCCCCACCGCCCGUGGUCCCUGACCCCCGGAUCUGCGAGGAACCAGAGCAGUCGCCGCCCUCCCUGCCAAGGUACGCCGCCCUCUCUCCGUGCACCCUCUCUCUUGGGGGCCAGAUCUCGCCGGCGCCGGUGCCGUCGAGGAUGAGGAAGGCAGAGGUCGUGCGCCUGCUAGUUCUGGUAACCUUCUUGCUCCUCCUUUCAUCUCCCAGUCGCUCCUUCCCCUUGCUCUUCCUCUCUUCUUGCUGGGCGUCGGCGACGCCUUGGCCUCCCUGAGCGCCUUGACGCCUUGGCGUCGCCUAGGCGACGCCUAGGCGACGCCGUAAGAACCAUGUACUAGAUUAGUUCUAAUGUACGGCUACCUUUUUGUUCAACAGACUGCAUUUUUCACAAACCUUUAUCUCAGUUUUGGCUCAGCGAAUCAGCAACUUAGCGUUUCAGCUUGAAUUACUUUUUUAGGCCAGCACCAUUUUUUAAGGCUCCCCACAUGUAAAACUAACCACAAGUUUUUAGGCUUCCCACAUUGUUUGAUAACAGCAGCUUCACCGCUGUAUAAAUCAGCCGAGAUUUACUGUUUUGGAACUUGCAGAAUGCCAUGUACUAGCUCCUGCUUGCCAACAACUGUCUGAGUGCAAUAUGAGGGAUUUGCAUCUUGAUCACCUAGGAAAUCAUAAUCAAAUUUUGGUGGUAGCUCUUUUAGAUCCAUUCUAUCAUGCUUUUUGCUUUUUUUCUAUUUUUUUUCAAACUGCGCAACAGCAAAUCUGAUUUUUUAGACAGCAGCAACAUAUAUGCAUCAAAGCAAUAUAAGUCAUUUAUAACAGGUAAUAAUGUGUUUCUAAAUAGGCAGAUUAGUAUUUCUUGUUUAAGCAAUUAUUCAUUUUGUUUUCUUCCAGAUUUCUUGCUUAACCAGUAUCAGCAAUAUAAGUCAUUUUAAAAGGCAAUAAUGUGUUUCUAAAUAGGCAGAUCAGUGUUUCUUGGUCAGGCAAUUAUGCAUAUUCUUUAGUUCCAUAUUUCUUGCUUAACCAACAUUGGAAUCACUAAUGAUUUUUUUUGCAUUUAAUUAGGUCUACAACAUUUAAUUAUACAUAUGGGGAUGGAGGACAACGAGGUGUAUCAACCCCAUCAGUUCAGAAACUUCAACAUACGCAGUUUAGUUUUGUCCAUCAAAAGCAACUUUUGAGAAUCACAACAGAUCUGUCCUGAGGCAAUGUGUGUUUGCAUUAAUACGAUUUUGUAGUUCUUUAAACUAAAUUUCUAUGCUUGUGACAUUUGACAGUUUUGUAUAAUGUGUGUAUACAUAAUCAUAUGUAUUCUGGAUGAAAUUAUAUAUUCUAUCCA